rnacentral:rRNA from 1 species
AUACGGGGCUUAAAGUCUUGUAAUUGGAAUGAUGGGAAUCUAAACCCCUUCCAGAGUAUCAAUUGGAGGGCAAGUCUGGUGCCAGCAGCCGCGGUAAUUCCAGCUCCAAUAGCGUAUAUUAAACUUGUUGCAGUUAAAAAGCUCGUAGUUGAACUUCUGCUGUCAGGUUUUCGUUCCUUUCGGGGUUUCGUCAACCUGGUGGCUUUUUUCUGGGUGAAUUUAGCUUCGGCUUAAUUUCCCAGUAUUUUACUUUGAGAAAAUUAGAGUGCUUCAAGCAGGCUUUUGCCGUGAAUACUUCAGCAUGGAAUAAUAAAGUAGGACUUUGGUUCAUUUUUGUUGGA